GAGAGUAGUCUUAUAUAUUAUAUAUACAUAUAUAUAUAAUAUAUCAAAAUUUACGAAGAAACGAAGAAGAGAGUUAACGUUGCGUACGUCUCUUGCGUGAGAGGACAUACUUUGUAAUCUAUAGUUGUUCCACCCUAAUUCCUUCCAACCACCCUUCUUUCUCCUCGGUUUUCUCCGUACCGUUUUGUCGCGAGAUCGACGAUAGAUCGUCGUUCCCUCAUGACGGAUAUCCAACUCUUGUUAAAACUUAUCAGUAAAAUAUUUAUAUAUGUAUAGUAUAUGUAUAUAUAUAUAUGCAAAUUCUGUUUUCCGCGUAAACGAGGAUUAAUCGGCCGCGGAAAGUUUGAGGGAAAAAAGAAACGCUUGAAGAAAAGAAAAAUUUCGCGGUUUCUCAUGAUUUUACCGAAUUGUACCGUUGCCGAUUAAUUCGCGCCCUUCGCGGGGAGCGUAGCGCGUAUACAGAAUGUAUCGAAAGACGUGUUUCAUUCUUUAACAAAAAUCGCGAUUUUUCCUAUGAUUUCAAAUUAUCAGUUAAAUUUCGAUGUUGAAUGCUAAUACAUUCAUGAAAUUGCGACCGAAUGCAAAAUGGAAUGAGACAUUCACUUGACAUAUUUUGAUUUACUUGAAGGUACUUUGGAAGGUACUUUUUUACUCAAACUGAAUUGACUUUUAACGAGGUAAAAUCGAGAAAUAAAGGACUGUUAAUUAUCAGUUAAAUUUCCAAGUUGAAUGUUAAUACAUUCAUGAAAUUGCGACCGAAUGCAAAAUGGAAUGAGACAUUCACUUGACAUAUUUUGAUUUACUUGAAGGUACUUCGGAAGGUACUUUUUUACUCGAACUGAAUUGACUUUUAACGAGGUAAAAUCGAGAAAUAAAGGAAUGUUACACGUAUAAAUCUCGAAGCAUCCUGUACAUCGCGCUUCGACGAGGGUGCUAAGGGGAGCCAUCGAGAACCAAUCGCAAACUCGAUGAUCGUACACCGACUGAACUUUUGGGAACCACUUUUUAUUAUUUUUUCGACCACUCUCCUGUACGUUCAAUCUCGAGAUCCCUCGCUCAUCUCCGCUCACCCUUCCUCUUUCCACCCCAUCGUUUCCACUUCGCCCCAUUUUUCAUAUUUCAGUUAUCACUAUCAUUAAUAUUAUUAUCAGGCAAUUACUAUUAGUAUUUUGUAUUAUAGGUAUUGUAUUGUAAAUUGCAAAAGUACGUGCAAUGUUUCGACGAUGAAUAAUAAUCGAUCAUGUUCAACUAA